CCCAUUAUCAGUAAGUGUAUGAUACGAUAUGGCUCACAAGAAAACCGGCAGUAGCUCCGCUGCUUACUUGAUUCCCUUCAUAUUCCUGCUGUUCUUAUUACUGUGCUCACCGCAGAUAGCAUUUGGCAGAGUUUCGAAACUUUCGAAAAGCAAAUUCAAAAGGACCAGUACAAUGCAUCAGCAAAUGAAGAUCAUUCAUGGAAACAAAAUAGGCGUAGACGACAAUGGUACGCCAAAGACAGGAGGGCACGGUUGAUGAAUGAACCGGUUUCACUGAUCUAUAUUCUCUUAUAGAUGUCAUAAAGAUGAUCUUGUAUGCCUAAUAAUGUAUACAAUUAAACGUUUAUAUAUUUCUGUUCGUUAAUUUCUGUA